GACGAACGCUGGCGGCGUGCUUAACACAUGCCAGUCGAACGGAAAGGCCCUGCUUUUGUGGGGUGCUCGAGUGGCGAACGGGUGAGUAACACGUGAGUAACCUGCCCUUGACUUUGGGAUAACUUCAGGAAACUGGGGCUAAUACCGGAUAGGAGCUCCUGCUGCAUGGUGGGGGUUGGAAAGUUUCGGCGGUUGGGGAUGGACUCGCGGCUUAUCAGCUUGUUGGUGGGGUAGUGGCUUACCAAGGCGUUGACGGGUAGCCGGCCUGAGAGGGUGACCGGCCACAGUGGGACUGGGAUACGGCCCGGACGCCUACGGGGGGCAGCAGUGGGGAAUUUUGCGCGAUGGGCGGAAGCCUGAUGCAGCAACGCCGCGUGCGGGAUGACGGCCUUCGGGUUGUAAACCGCUUGCGCCUGUGACGAAGCGUGAGUGACGGUAAUGGGUAAAGAAGCACCGGCUAACUACGUG
rnacentral:rRNA from 1 species